ensembl:lncRNA
GGGGAGAGGAGAGAGACGGAGGAGAGGAGAGAGACGGAGGAGAGUAGAGAGACAGAGGAGAGAGAGAGAGGAGAGGAGAGAGAAGGAGGAGAGGAGAGGUGAGAGACGGGGGAGAGGAGAGAGACGGAGGAGAGUAGAGAGAGAGGAGAGGAGAGAGACGGGGGAGAGGAGAGAGAGAGAGAGACGACGGAGAGGAGAGAGAUGGAGGAGAGGAGAGAGACGGAGGAGAGGAGAGAGACGGAGGAGAGGAGAGAGACGGAGGAGAGGAGAGAGACUGAGGAGAGGAGAGAGACUGAGGAGAGGAGAGAGACGGGG